rnacentral:misc_RNA from 1 species
GUGAAUCAUCGAAUUUUUGAACGCAAAUUGCACUCUCUUCGGAGAGUAUGCCUGUUUGAGGGUCAGCCUAUAAAAAAUCGCAAUCUUUGCGGUUUCGCGGUAACGUUCGUCGUGAAUUGGGUCAUCUUAAAUCUUUGGUUUUAAGCGACUUAAAAAUUUCUUUUUGAUUCCAUGAACAUUUCUAAUAUUUAUUUCUUUACACUUUUAAGGUAUCGAUUUAUUAAACUUGACCGUCAUAUCGGAUCGCUUCCAUAUUCUGCCAUUAACU